GCCCAGACUCCUACGGGAGGCAGCAGUGGGGGAUAUUGCACAAUGGGGGGAACCCUGAUGCAGCGACGCCGCGUGUGGGAAGACGGUCCUCUGGAUUGUAAACCACUGUCCCCAGGGACGAAGAUGACGGUACCUGGGGAGGAAGCUCCGGCUAAAUACGUGCCAGCAGCCGCGGUAAUACGUAUGGUGCAAGCGUUAUCCGGAUUUACUGGGCGUAAAGGGAGCGCAGGCGGCGCGCCAAGUCUGAUGUGAAACCCCGGGGCUCAACCCCGGGCAUGCAUUGGAAACUGGCGGGCUGGAGUGCCGGAGAGGUAAGCGGAAUUCCUAGUGUAGCGGUGAAAUGCGUAGAUAUUAGGAGGAACACCAGUGGCGAAGGCGGCUUACUGGACGGCAACUGACGCUGAGGCUCGAAAGCGUGGGGAGCAAACAGGAUUAGAUACCCCCGUA
rnacentral:rRNA from 1 species